GAAUCCCGUCUUUGGCACGGAUGCCUGGUGCUUCUGUGAUGCGCUCUCGAAGAGUCGAGUUGUUUGGGAAUGCAGCUCAAAAUGGGUGGUGAACUCCACCUAAAGCUAAAUAUUGGCGAGAGACCGAUAGCGAACAAGUACCGUGAGGGAAAGAUGAAAAGCACUUUGGAAAGAGAGUGAAACAGUACGUGAAAUUGUUGAAAGGGAAACGCUUGAAGUCAGUCGCGUCGACCGAGACUCAGCCUUGCCUUGGCUUGGUGUACUUCUCGGCCUGACGGGUCAGCAUCAAUUUUGCCCUUUGGAUAAUGGCAGGGGAAAGGUGGCACCUUUACGGGUGUGUUAUAGUCUCUUGUCGCAUGCGAGGGGUGGGAUUGAGGAACUCAGCGCGCACCUCAGUGUCGGGGCUUCGGCCCACGUCACGCGCUUAGGAUGCUGGCGUAAUGGCUUUAAACGACCCGUCUUGAAACACGGACCAAGGAGUCCAACACGCCCGCGAGUGUUCGGGUGGAAAACCCGUGCGCGUAAUGAAAGUGAAAGUUGGGACCUCUGUCGUGGAGGGCACCGACGCCCGGACCAGACCUUCUGUGACGGAUCUGCGGUAGAGCGUGUGUGUUGGGACCCGAAAGAUGGUGAACUAUGCCUGAAUAGGGUGAAGCCAGAGGAAACUCUGGUGGAGGCUCGUAGCGAUUCUGACGUGCAAAUCGAUCGUCAAAUUUGGGUAUAGGGGCGAAAGACUAAUCGAACCAUCUAGUAGCUGGUUCCUGCC
rnacentral:rRNA from 1 species